GCCUUUGUAGCUCAGUGGCUAGAGCGUCUGCCUAGUAAGCAGAAGGUCCGCAGUUCGAUCCUGUGUAAAGGCA